rnacentral:miRNA from 1 species
ACCGCAUUGACCAGUAUCAGU